UACGAAGGGGGCUAGCGUUGCUCGGAAUCACUGGGCGUAAAGGGUGCGUAGGCGGGUCUUUAAGUCAGGGGUGAAAUCCUGGAGCUCGACUCCAGAACUGCCUUUGAUACUGAAGAUCUUGAGUUCGGGAGAGGUGAGUGGAACUGCGAGUGUAGAGGUGAAAUUCGUAGAUAUUCGCAAGAACACCAGUGGCGAAGGCGGCUCGCUGGGACGGUACUGACGCUGAGGCGCGAAAGCGUGGGGAGCAAACAGG
rnacentral:rRNA from 1 species